GAUGAACGCUGACAGAAUGCUUAACACAUGCAAGUCAACUUGAACUUCGGUUUGGGUGGCGGACGGGUGAGUAACGCGUAAAGAACUUGCCUCACAGUUAGGGACAACAUUUGGAAACGAAUGCUAAUACCUGAUAUUAUGAUUUUAGGGCAUCCUAGAAUUAUGAAAGCUAUAUGCGCUGUGAGAGAGCUUUGCGUCCCAUUAGCUAGUUGGAGAGGUAACGGCUCACCAAGGCGAUGAUGGGUAGCCGGCCUGAGAGGGUGAACGGCCACAAGGGGACUGAGACACGGCCCUUACUCCUUCGGGAGGCAGGAGUGGGGAAUAUUGGACAAUGGACCAAGAGUCUGAUCCAGCAAUUCUGUGUGCACAAUGAAGUUUUUCGGAAUGUAAAGUGCUUUCAGUUGGGAAGAAAAAAAUGACGAUACCAACAGAAGGAGUGACGGCUAAAUACGUG
rnacentral:rRNA from 1 species